UGCAGUCGAGCGGAACGAUGGGAGCUUGCUCCCAGGCGUCGAAGCGGCGGACGGGUGAGUAACGCGUAGGAAUCUACCCAGUAGCGGGGGAUAGCCAGUGGAAACGCUGAUUAAUACCGCAUACGCCCCACGGGGGAAAGGCCGGGAUCUUCGGACCGGUCACUAUUGGAGGAGCCUGCGUUGGAUUAGCUAGUUGGUGAGGUAAUGGCUCACCAAGGCGACGAUCCAUAGCUGGUUUGAGAGGAUGAUCAGCCACACUGGGACUGAGACACGGCCCAGACUCCUACGGGAGGCAGCAGUGGGGAAUCUUAGACAAUGGGCGCAAGCCUGAUCUAGCCAUACCGCGUGAGUGAUGAAGGCCUUAGGGUCGUAAAGCUCUUUCGCCAGGGAAGAUAAUGACUGUACCUGGUAAAGAAGUCCCAGCUAACUCCGUGCCAGCAGCCGCGGUAAUACGGAGGGGACUAGCGUUGUUCGGAAUUACUGGGCGUAAAGCGCACGUAGGCGGACCAGAAAGUAUGGGGUGAAAUCCCAGGGC
rnacentral:rRNA from 1 species